AGUCAAGUAAUUAAGUGCAUGUGGUGGAUGCCUUGGCAGUCAGAGGCGAUGAAAGACGUGAUAGCCUGCGAAAAGCUCCGGGGAGGCGGCAAAUAUCCUUUGAUCCGGAGAUGUCUGAAUGGGGGAACCCACCUACUUUAAGGAGGUAUUGCAACAUGAAUACAUAGUGUUGCAAGGCGAACGAGGGGAAGUGAAACAUCUCAGUACCCUUAGGAAAAGAAAUCAAUUGAGAUUCCCUCAGUAGCGGCGAGCGAACGGGGAUCAGCCCAUUAAGUUAUGUGUGUUUUAGUGGAACGCUCUGGGAAGUGCGAACGUAGAGGGUGAUAUUCCCGUACACGAAAGGGCACACAUAAUGAUGACGAGUAGGGCGAGGCACGUGAAACCUUGUCUGAAUAUGGGGGGACCAUCCUCCAAGGCUAAAUACUCCUGACUGACCGAUAGUGAACCAGUACCGUGAGGGAAAGGCGAAAAGAACCCCUGUGAGGGGAGUGAAAUAGAUCCUGAAACCGCAUGCAUACAAGCAGUGGGAGCACCUUCGUGGUGUGACUGCGUACCUUUUGUAUAAUGGGUCAGCGACUUAUAUUCAGUAGCAGGUUAACCGUAUAGGGGAGCCGUAGAGAAAUCGAGUCUUAAUAGGGCGUUUAGUUGCUGGGUAUAGACCCGAAACCAGGCGAUCUAUCCAUGAGCAGGUUGAAGGUUGGGUAACACUAACUGGAGGACCGAACCCACUGUCGUUGAAAAGCCAGGGGAUGACUUGUGGAUAGGGGUGAAAGGCUAAUCAAGCCUGGUGAUAGCUGGUUCUCCCCGAAAGCUAUUUAGGUAGCGCCUCGGACGAAUACCAUAGGGGGUAGAGCACUGUUUCGGCUAGGGGGUCAUCCCGACUUACCAAACCGAUGCAAACUCCGAAUACCUAUGAGUACUAUCCGGGAGACAGACUGCGGGUGCUAACGUCCGUAGUCAAGAGGAAAACAAUCCAGACCGCCAGCUAAGGCCCCAAAAUCAUAGUUAAGUGGGAAACGAUGUGGGAAGGCAUAGACAGCUAGGAGGUUGGCUUAGAAGCAGCCACCCUUUAAAGAAAGCGUAAUAGCUCACUAGUCGAGUCGGCCUGCGCGGAAGAUGUAACGGGGCUAAAACUAUGUGCCGAAGCUGCGGAUGUAUACUUUGUAUACGUGGUAGGGGAGCGUUCUGUAAGCCGAUGAAGGUGUGUUGAGAAGCAUGCUGGAGGUAUCAGAAGUGCGAAUGCUGACGUGAGUAACGACAAAACGGGUGAAAAACCCGUUCGCCGAAAGACCAAGGGUUCCAGUCCAACGUUAAUCGGGGCUGGGUGAGUCGACCCCUAAGGCGAGGCCGAAAGGCGUAGUCGAUGGGAAAAUGGUUAAUAUUCCAUUACUUCUGUGUAAUGCGAUGAGAGGACGGAGAAGGCUAAAUCAGCCUGGCGUUGGUUGUCCAGGUGAAAGGAUGUAGGCAUGUAUCUUAGGCAAAUCCGGGGUACUCUAUGCUGAGAUCUGAUAGCAAGCUGUACUUGUACAGCGAAGUGGUUGAUGCCAUGCUUCCAGGAAAAGUCUCUAAGCUUCAGUUACACAGGAAUCGUACCCGAAACCGACACAGGUGGUCAGGUCGAGUAGACCAAGGCGCUUGAGAGAACUCUGCUGAAGGAACUAGGCAAAAUGGUACCGUAACUUCGGGAGAAGGUACGCUGUUGUUGGUGAUGGAACUCGCUUCCUGAGCUGACGACAGCCGCAGAAACCAGGCCGCUGCAACUGUUUAUUAAAAACAUAGCACUCUGCAAACACGAAAGUGGACGUAUAGGGUGUGAUGCCUGCCCGGUGCUGGAAGGUUAAUUGAUGGGGUUAGCGUAAGCGAAGCUCUUGAUCGAAGCCCCAGUAAACGGCGGCCGUAACUAUAACGGUCCUAAGGUAGCGAAAUUCCUUGUCGGGUAAGUUCCGACCUGCACGAAUGGCAUAAUGAUGGCGGCGCUGUCUCCAGCAGAGGCUCAGUGAAAUCGAAAUCGCUGUGAAGAUGCAGUGUACCCGCGGCUAGACGGAAAGACCCCGUGAACCUUUACUGCAGCUUGACACUGAACUUUGACCUUACUUGUGUAGGAUAGGUGGGAGGCUUUGAAGCUGGAACGCUAGUUCCAGUGGAGCCGUCCUUGAAAUACCACCCUGGUAAUGUUGAGGUUCUAACUCUGUCCCGUGAUCCGGGACGAGGACCGUGUCUGGUGGGUAGUUUGACUGGGGCGGUCUCCUCCUAAAGAGUAACGGAGGAGUACGAAGGUGCGCUCAGCGUGGUCGGAAAUCACGCGUAGAGUAUAAAGGCAAAAGCGCGCUUAACUGCGAGACCCACAAGUCGAGCAGGUACGAAAGUAGGUCUUAGUGAUCCGGUGGUUCUGUAUGGAAGGGCCAUCGCUCAACGGAUAAAAGGUACUCUGGGGAUAACAGGCUGAUACCGCCCAAGAGUUCAUAUCGACGGCGGUGUUUGGCACCUCGAUGUCGGCUCAUCUCAUCCUGGGGCUGAAGCAGGUCCCAAGGGUAUGGCUGUUCGCCAUUUAAAGAGGUACGCGAGCUGGGUUUAGAACGUCGUGAGACAGUUCGGUCCCUAUCUACCGUGGGCGCUGGAAAUUUGAGAGGAUCUGCUCCUAGUACGAGAGGACCAGAGUGGACGAACCUCUGGUGUACCGGUUGUGACGCCAGUCGCAUCGCCGGGUAGCUAUGUUCGGAAGGGAUAACCGCUGAAAGCAUCUAAGCGGGAAGCCUACCUCAAGAUAAGAUUUCCCUAGGACUUUAUGUCCUCUAAAGAGCCGUUCGAGACUAGGACGUUGAUAGGUUGGAUGUGGAAGCAUAGUGAUAUGUGAAGCUGACCAAUACUAAUUGCUCGUGAGGCUUGACUAU
rnacentral:rRNA from 1 species